rnacentral:rRNA from 1 species
AUUGAACGCUGGCGGCAUGCCUUACACAUGCAAGUCGAACGGCAGCACGGGAGCAAUCCUGGUGGCGAGUGGCGAACGGGUGAGUAAUAUAUCGGAACGUGCCCAGUCGUGGGGGAUAACGUAGCGAAAGCUACGCUAAUACCGCAUACGAUCUAUGGAUGAAAGCGGGGGAUCGCAAGACCUCGCGCGAUUGGAGCGGCCGAUAUCAGAUUAGGUAGUUGGUGGGGUAAAAGCCUACCAAGCCUUCGAUCUGUAGCUGGUCUGAGAGGACGACCAGCCACACUGGAACUGAGACACGGUCCGGACUCCUACGGGAGGCAGCAGUGGGGAAUUUUGGACAAUGGGCGCAAGCCUGAUCCAGCCAUGCCGCGUGAGUGAAGAAGGCCUGGUUGUAAG